GGCCCUGAAGCUGUGACCUUUGUGCAUUGCUAAACAGCUGACUUAGUCUGUUAUAAACAUGUGUAUAGGCUCUGUGCGGACUCAGGGACAUGACAACUGGCUCAUGCACUAAGUGUGGUGGAUAUAGGCUCGCCAGUUUGACUGGAUUUAGAGUCGUCAUGGAUGCACACUUCUGGAUAUGUCUGUGAAGGUUCAAGCUGAAGAUUAGAGAAGCAAAGCAGCUGCGCCAGGAGAUCUUACCUCUACUCGGCUGAAAUGCAACAGGCUGCUUCUGCUCCACAUCUCUCCAACACGUGGUGUUCCUGGGGUUCCAGAUGUCGGUCACUUGAAUAGGCACACUGUGGUAUCCUGUUGUUUUAAUUGAUGUUUGCCCAGUCUGUGGUACAAAGCCUAUUGACUUUAUGGAUCUCUGCUUUGGUGAGGUGUCUCUUGUGGCCCUGGCUCAGUGUUAAAUUUGGCUGUUUUCUUCUUGUUGAGUUUUAAGAGUGUGUGUUUUUUUUUUGUACAGUGGGUCUCUAUCAAAUACAUCUGUUGUGGGUAUGUCUCCCAGUUUGUGGCUUGUCUUCUCAUUCUCUUCCCUGAAUGACGUAGUGCAAAACUGUAUAAUUUUGAUUAAGUCUAGUUUAUCAGUGAUUUUUUUCCCCCCCAUGAAUUGUUCCUCUGGUGUUGUACUGGUAAAAGGCAAUUCCUGAGCAAGACUGAUGGCCUGAAUUCCAUCCCCAGAUUUCACCAGCUCCUGAAGGUUGUUUUCUGUCUUCCACAUGCACAACAUAGCACCUUUGUGCCUACAUCAUACACACACCCACACACCCACAUACACACACCCCACCCACACACACACAUACAUCACACACACAC